GCUUCCUUAGCUCAGCUGGUAGAGCAACUGACUUGUAAUCAGUAGGUCGUUGGUUCGAUCCCGACAGGGAGCUCAA
rnacentral:tRNA from 1 species